CGGCCGGGACGACCCGGCCGACCAGGGAGCAUGAGCCGGGACGACCCGGC
rnacentral:ncRNA from 1 species